rnacentral:rRNA from 1 species
UACGUAGGCAGCGAGCGUUGCUCGGAAUGACUGGGCGUAAAGGGCGCGUAGGCGGCAUGUACAGUCAGACGUGAAAUUCCUGGGCUUAACCUGGGGGCUGCGUUUGAUACGUGCAGGCUAGAGUGAGGAAGAGGGUCGUGGAAUUCCCAGUGUAGAGGUGAAAUUCGUAGAUAUUGGGAAGAACACCGGUGGCGAAGGCGGCGACCUGGUCCUUUACUGACGCUGAGGCGCGAAAGCGUGGGGAGCAAACAGG